rnacentral:rRNA from 1 species
GCAGUGGGUACGGGCAGACUAGAGUGCGGUAGGGGAGAAUGGAAUUCCUGGUGUAGCGGUGGAAUGCGCAGAUAUCAGGAGGAACACCGAUGGCGAAGGCAGUUCUCUGGGCCGUAACUGACGCUGAGGAGCGAAAGGUGGGGAGCGAACAGGAUUAGAUACCCUGGUAGUCCACGCCGUAAACGUUGGGCGCUAGAUGUGGGGCCGUGUCGCAGCUAACGAUUAAGCGCCCCGCCUGGGGAGUACGGCCGCAAGGCUAAAACUCAAAGGAAUUGACGGGGGCCCGCACAAGCGGCGGAGCAUGCGGAUUAAUUCGAUGCAACGCGAAGAACCUUACCAAGGCUUGACAUACAGGUGGUGCAUGGUUGUCGUCAGCUCGUGUCGUGAGAUGUUGGGUUAAGUCCCGCAACGAGCGCAACCCUCGUUCUAUGUUGCAACUCAUAGGAGACUGCCGGGGUCAACUCGGAGGAAGGUGGGGAUGACGUCAAAUCAUCAUGCCCCUUAUGUCUUGGGCUUCACGCAUGCUACAAUGGCCGGUACAAAGGGCUGCAAUACCGUAAGGUGGAGCGAAUCCCAAAAAGCCGGUCUCAGUUCGGAUUGAGGUCUGCAACUCGACCUCAUGAAGUCGGAGUCGCUAGUAAUCGCAGAUCAGCACGCUGCGGUGAAUAC